GGGCCCGCACAAGCGGCGGAGCAUGUGGCUUAAUUCGAAGCAACGCGAAGAACCUUACCAGGGCUUGAAAUAUACGGAAAAACCAUGGAAACAUGGUGUGCUUCGGCGUCGUAUACAGGUGGUGCAUGGUUGUCGUCAGCUCGUGCCGUGAGGUGUUGGGUUAAGUCCCGCAACGAGCGCAACCCUUAUCCUAUGUUGCCAGCGCGUAAUGGCGGGGACUCAUGGGAGACUGCCGGUGUCAAACCGGAGGAAGGUGGGGACGACGUCAAAUCAUCAUGCCCCUUAUGUCCUGGGCUGCACACAUGCUACAAUGGCCGGUACAGAGGGCUGCGAUCCCGCGAGGGUGAGCGAAUCUCACAAAGCCGGUCUCAGUUCGGAUUGGAGUCUGCAACUCGACUCCAUGAAGGCGGAGUCGCUAGUAAUCG
rnacentral:rRNA from 1 species